UACGGAGGGUGCAAGCGUUAUCCGGAUUUACUGGUUUAAAGGGUGCGCAGGCGGAUAUGUAAGUACAGUGGUGAAAUCUCUAGGCUUAACCUGGAAAUUGCCGUUGAUACUAUAUAUCUUGAAUGUUGUGGAGGUAAGCAGAAUAUGUCAUGUAGCGGUGAAAUGCUUAGAUAUGACAUAGAAUACCUAUUGCGAAGGCAGCUUACUACGCAGAUAUUGACGCUCAUGCACGAAAGCGUGGGGAUCAAACAGG
rnacentral:rRNA from 1 species